rnacentral:rRNA from 1 species
AUUGAACGCUGGCGGCAUGCCUUACACAUGCAAGUCGAACGGUAACGGGCCUUCGGGUGCCGACGAGUGGCGAACGGGUGAGUAAUACAUCGGAACGUGCCCGAUCGUGGGGGAUAACGAGGCGAAAGCUUUGCUAAUACCGCAUACGAUCUACGGAUGAAAGCCGGGGACCGCAAGGCCUUGCGCGGACGGAGCGGCCGAUGGCAGAUUAGGUAGUUGGUGGGAUAAAAGCUUACCAGGCCGACGAUCUGUAGCUGGUCUGAGAGGAUGAUCAGCCACACUGGGACUGAGACACGGCCCAGACUCCUACGGGAGGCAGCAGUGGGGAAUUUUGGACAAUGGGCGCAAGCCUGAUCCAGCCAUGCCGCGUGCAGGAUGAAGGCCUUCGGGUUGUAAACUGCUUUUGUACGGAACGAAAAGCCUUCUUUUAAUACAGGAGGGUCAUGACGGUACCGUAAGAAUAAGCACCGGCUAACUACGUG